GAUGAACGCUGGCGGCGUGCCUAAUACAUGCAAGUCGAGCGAACAGACGAGGAGCUUGCUCCUCUGACGUUAGCGGCGGACGGGUGAGUAAAACGUGGAUAACCUACCUAUAAGACUGGGAUAACUUCGGGAAACCGGAGCUAAUACCGGAUAAUAUAUUGAACCGCAUGGUUCAAUAGUGAAAGACGGCUUUGCUGUCACCUAUAGAUGGAUCCGCCCCGAAUUAGCUAGUUGGUAAGGGAACGGCUUACCAAGGCGACGAUGCGUAGCCGACCUGAGAGGAUGAUAGGCCACACUGCAUCCGAAACACGCUCCAGACUCCUACGGGAGGCAGCAGCAGGGAAUCUUCCGCAAUGGGCGAAAGCCUGACGGAGCAACGCCGCGUGAGUGAUGAAGGUCUUCGGAUCGUAAAACUCUGUUAUUAGGAAAGAACAAAUGUGUAAGUAGCUAUGCACGUCUUGACGGUACCUAAUCAGAAAGCCACGGCUAACUACGUU
rnacentral:rRNA from 1 species